rnacentral:rRNA from 1 species
GAAACUCAGGCUAAUACCGCAUGAGCCCUUCGGGGGAAAGCAGGGGAUCUUCGGACCUUGCGCUAUUGGAUGAGCCUAUGCCUGAUUAGCUUGUUGGUGGGGUAACGGCCUACCAAGGCGACGAUCAGUAGCUGGUCUGAGAGGACGAUCAGCCACACUGGGACUGAGACACGGCCCAGACUCCUACGGGAGGCAGCAGUGGGGAAUAUUGGACAAUGGGCGCAAGCCUGAUCCAGCAAUGCCGCGUGUGUGAAGAAGGCCUGCGGGUUGUAAAGCACUUUCAGUGGGGAGGAAAAGCUCAAGGUUAAUACCCUUGGGUCUUGACGUUAUCCACAGAAGAAGCACCGGCUAACUCUGUGCCAGCAGCCGCGGUAAUACAGAGGGUGCAAGCGUUAAUCGGAAUUACUGGGCGUAAAGCGCGCGUAGGCGGUUUGUUAAGUCGGAUGUGAAAGCCCCGGGCUCAACCUGGGAACUGCAUUCGAUACUGGCAGGCUAGAGUAUGGUAGAGGGAAGUGGAAUUCCGGGUGUAGCGGUGAAAUGCGUA